rnacentral:rRNA from 1 species
GAACCGUCCAAACGUUAUUCGGAAUCACUGGGCUUAAAGGGUACGUAGGCGGGCUUGGAAAGUUGGGGUGUGAAAUCCCUCGGGCUCAACCGAGGAACUGCACUCAAAACUGCCAGGCUUGAGGGAGACAGAGGUGAGCGGAACUCAGGGUGGAGCGGUGGAAUGCGUUGAUAUCCUGGGGAACACCAGUUGCGAAGGCGGCUCACUGGGUCUCUUCUGACGCUGAGGUACGAAAGCUAGGGGAGCGAACGGGAUUAGAUACCCCGGUAGUCCUAGCUGUAAACGUUGAGCACUGGAUCGGAGGAUUUCGGUUUUCCGGUCGUAGCGAAAGUGUUAAGUGCUCCGCCUGGGGAGUAUGGUCGCAAAGGCUGA